rnacentral:lncRNA from 1 species
AGGACAUAAUCUGUAGCUAGAUCUAUAGUCUCUCUAAUACUAUGACAGGUCAGGACAUAAUCUGUAGCUAGAUCUAUUGUCUAAUAUUAUGACAGGUCAGGUUAUAAUCUGUAGCUAGAUCUAUAGUCUAAUAUCAUGACAGGUCAGGACAUAAUCUGUAGCUAGAUCUAUUGUCCAAUACUAUGACAGGUCAGGACAUAAUCUGCAGUUAGAUCUAUAGCCUCUAAUAUUAUGACAGGUCAGGUCAUAAUCUGUAGCUAGAUCUAUUAUCCAAUAUUAUGACAGGUCAGGACAUAAUCUGUACCUAGAUCUAUAGUCUAAUAUUAUGACAGGUCAGGUCAUUAUCUGUAGCUAGAUCUAUAGUCUCUCUAAUAUUAUGACAGGUC